GUUGAAAUAAAUAAAUAAAAACUUUCACGGAUAAUUCACACAAACACAACAACGCAGAGUAACACGACUAGGAGCGAUCGCACGUCGAUGUGAAAUGGACAAGGUGAGAUGCUGAAUACAUGCGAUGCGCGGGAGAUGCAGAGAAUGAUGCUACGUUCGCUGAGCCAAUCAGAACCCACGACACAGAACACCAUGCUCUGGUUGGUCGCCUCCGAUCCAUCAGCCAAUAGCGUGCCGUGUACGAUCCCACGUGGGUAAACGAGCGCAAGUGGAAGCGGCCGCAUCUGCGUUUUCCACACGCACGACUUUGUCUACUCUUCUACUGUACACAAUGAUGGAACCAUCUGUUGCAACACAGACCCUGCCUGCACCCAUGCACCGUGAUCACUCUGACAAUGGAUGGAGGACCUUAGGAUUCAGGAGGAAUUCCUUCCACCCAGCGAGGAGCAGCAAAGUGAAAGGCAUGGACAAGAAAAACCUGUGUCGGACGGGUGUGGGUUUAGUCUCAACCGUCUCAAGAAUCUGCGGCCCUGCCUCGAUCUUUGCAUGUCUGUCUUCUUUGUGGGGAGGUCCUCCGGCUUACACGUUGGUGUGACUGUGGUGAUAGCAAAGUUUGAAUGCGUCAUGGAGUCCCCGUGUUUUCACUUCUCGGCUCUCUUCACCGAAACGUCCCAGCGAAAGGUCACAAUAACUUUUGUUUGUCAUCGUGAACCCAGCCAUGUAAAACUCUUUCCUAUAUGAAGAAAAAGGGAUGUAAAUAUUUUAAAAAAUUUCCACUGCUAUAAAAUAGGUUUUUUUGUUGUCUUUUGUUUUGUUUUUUUUUGAAGACGAUUUGUUAGCAUUGCUAACAUUUUUUUUUUUUGAAGUCAUUGCUGUGAAUGACACAUCUUUUCGGUCUGCACGCAAGGUUGCUUGUGCACAAUGAUUGUCAACCUUCUGGGUCACAGUUGGUUCCUGAUGACCAUUUUCCACUAGUGGCUUUGAGCCCUUGCAGAUGUAAUUUUUUUUCACUACACGGAACCCGGCACAAUGACGCCUCGUUUUCAUCACAUCCGAGGAGCAUUCAAAACGACAUACUCACAAUAGUCCAUAAAUAGGCAACUUUUGGUUUAUUUUUUCAAUGUACAAGUUAAUGACUGCCCAUUGUAGAUAUUUCAGCUUUUACUGCCAUUGUGUUUUGUAAUGUUUUGUGGGGGAAAUGGAAAAGCUGCCUUAGUAGCCUUGGAUGAUGAAAUGUACAACAGGAGAUCCUUGUGAUUCCAAGGAGCUCAAUCAGGAUGAGGAUGAGAGACGUUAUGGAAACGUGGCGACGGCAUUGUGUGUACAUACGUUGUGCUGUGUACUGUAAUACGAUGAAAAAAAAAUUCAAUUUCUUGAUUUCUUGCUUUGUUGCAAGACUGAAACUUUCUCACAAAACAUCGUGGUGAGGUUUAUUUGUUUGUUUGGUUUAUUUAUUUAUUUAUUGUGAUCUGUUUCUUUCUUGCUUCUUUAGCCUUUCAGUUUAUCGAAGAGAACGUGUUGUUGUUGUUGUUGUUUUUGUGCAUUUAAUUGAAAUAUCCGAACUGCCAACUUACCCUACCACAUCAUGAAGCCGUCUUAUCGUUGCUUUCUGGACUUUUGUGUUGUUCAAUGCAUUUCAUAAUUUGCCUUUAUGUGCACCAUUUACGACAGCUUGGUGAAGGCCACGGUGCCGCGGUUCAUCAAAGAGCAGACUCGCACUCAUUGUGUGUCCUGGCUAUUUCUAGGGAACAGCUGCCAGUUCGGACGACUUGCACCCGUUUGUGUGCGCAGUGCCAAAUUUGGAAGUAUACGCAACCUUGAUGUACAUAUGAGUACAGACAGCUUCUGCGGUAUGUAAUCUGUUUUUCCAGCAUUUGGUGAUUAAUUGCAUUGACUUUGAAAUAUAACCUGUUUGCAUCGUCUCUAGACUUUGAUUUUGCUGUCGUUUGUAGAGCUUUUUCAGGAUGCAGAUGAUCCGUUGAGCGGGAUAGCCAGAAGUGCUUGAUUGAAUCUGCUCUUCAUUAAGCGUAUCAUACACCCUAAUAGCAAACCUUGCACUUUUCUCUGCAUUAUAUGAUCACAUGCUGGGUCUAUUGAACUGAAUAUACUACAAACGAAUAAAUAGAUUCAUGAAUGAAUGAUUUUAGCCCAUAGCAUUUGGAGUGUAUGAACACUGCAUUUCUGGAAACUUCGCCGAUGAACAGCAAAGGUGGG
rnacentral:lncRNA from 1 species